UGGGGAAUAUUGGACAAUGGGCGAAAGCCUGAUCCAGCCAUGCCGCGUGUGUGAAGAAGGUCUUCGGAUUGUAAAGCACUUUAAGUUGGGAGGAAGGGCAGUUACCUAAUACGUGAUUGUUUUGACGUUACCGACAGAAUAAGCACCGGCUAACUCUGUGCCAGCAGCCGCGGUAAUACAGGGGGUGCAAGCGUUAAUCGGAAUUACUGGGCGUAAAGCGCGCGUAGGUGGUUAGUUAAGUUGGAUGUGAAAUCCCCGGGCUCAACCUGGGAACUGCAUUCAAAACUGACUGACUAGAGUAUGGUAGAGGGUGGUGGAAUUUCCUGUGUAGCGGUGAAAUGCGUAGAUAUAGGAAGGAACACCAGUGGCGAAGGCGACCACCUGGACUGAUACUGACACUGAGGUGCGAAAGCGUGGGGAGCAAACAGGAUUAGAUACCCAAGUAGUCCCUGAGCGGGCUGGCAAGGCGCAU
rnacentral:rRNA from 1 species